AGCAGCCGCGGUAAUUCCAGCUCCAAUAGCGUAUAUUAAAGUUGUUGCAGUUAAAAAGCUCGUAGUUGAAUUUCGGGAUCAAAGAAUCGGUCAUGCUUUGGUAUGUACUGGUUUUAUUGGUUCUCACCUUCUAAAGAACCAUAAUGUCAUUUAUUUGAUGUUACGGGGAAUUAGGACUGUUACCUUGAAAAAAUUAGAGUGUUUAAAGCAAGCUUACGCUUGAAUACAUUAGCAUGGAAUAAUGGAAUAGGACAUCCGAUUCUAUUUUGUUGGUUUCUAGGAUCGAUGUAAUGAUUAAUAGGGAUAGUUGGGGGCAUUAGUAUUCAAUUGUCAGAGGUGAAAUUCUUGGAUUUAUUGAAGACUAACUACUGCGAAAGCAUUUGCCAAGGAUGUUUUCAUUAAUCAAGAACGAAAGUUAGGGGAUCGAAGACGAUCAGAUACCGUCGUAGUCUUAACCAUAAACUAUGCCGACUAGGGAUCGGAUGAUGUUUAUUUUUUAGUGACUCA
rnacentral:rRNA from 1 species